ensembl:lncRNA
GGGAGGUGGGCUGGGGGGCCAGGCAGGGAGGGCUAGUCUUGGGAAGGGGAGGCAAGAGCCUGAAACGGAGGCACCCCGAUGGGCCCACGGGCCUGUGUCGUCUCCAGAAGUCAUGAAAGGCCCCCUUCUCAUCCUUCUGGUCCUCAUGUUGUGCGCAGAGCUUGCUCAGAGCCUGCGCUGCUACUCCUGUGGGACCCUCGGCAAAUUUAGCGUUCCCAACCAUUGCCCGACAAGUGAAUGCGACUCAAAUUCCACUGUCUGCUACACGGGCAACCUGAGCAUGAUCGUGGAAGCAGGUGAGUCCCUGGCAUCCAGAGUGGGAGGAUUGAUAGAGGGGGUUCCUCAGAGAAGCAAGGGGCCAAUGGCAGUGUCCCCUGGGGCAGAGCCCUGCCCUGCACCAGCCUUCCUCCGUGUCCUUAUCAGUACAGAGACGGGCUAGCUCCAGCAGCCACCUGUGUCGGGAGAUGGUGGUGCUUGGUGGGACAGGAUGGGAAUUUCAGCAGGGAAACAGGGGGCCCAGCGCAUCAGAGGAGAGAGUUAGGACAGUCAACCCCAGGAGGGUCAGAGGGGACGCCACCGCAGAUGCCUCAUUUUUUGCCCACAGACAUGAUUGAAUUGGAUAUCAGGGGCUGUGUCUCUUCCUGCCAGAUGCCUACAGAGUUCAUUAAGAGAUUGAUAGCCACAUCUAAAGCUAAAUUUGAAGAGUGGAACGUGAUCUGCUGUGAAAAGGACCUGUGUAACGGGUGGUCCGAGCAAGGCCCAACCCCUGUGCCUUGACCAGAGGGCCCCUUCCCCGUCUGGGCUCCACCCUCCUCCGGCCCUGUGAGGAGCCCCGGGGCUCAGACUCAGAGGGAAGGGGCACCAUUCACCAGCAUGGCGCCAAUCCAGCACACCCUCACGCACCCACACACACAUGCACUCAGACUGUCCUGGGAUGGGUCCCCACCGCAGGGCCCGGUCCUGGGACCACCCACUGCCCACUCCACUGGCCAGCCCAGCCCCAGGUGGCCUGUAGUCCACCUCAGCAAAAAUAAAUGCCUUCCACAACAUCUUGUCCUUUGCAUCUGUUCAGUCCAGAAGUGGUGGGGGUCCCUGUCACCUGCUUGAAGGGAGGAUCUGUUUCAAUCCUGGGCAGGUUGAGCUCCUAGGGCUGUGGGUAUACCAGGGGUGCUGGUCCUGCAGGGGUCAGCUCUUACAGGAGUCAGGGUACCCACUCUUCCACCUGAAGCAUUUCCUCUUCCGCAGCAGAGUGGGAGGGGACCAAACUUCUCUGCCUUCUUCACUCCCUCAGCUGAGAAAAGGGAGACUCAACCACAACCUGUGAACACAAGCAGCCCUCGCAGACCUGUAG